GCUUUUAUGUAAGCACAUUCAUUACAUAAGACUGCAGAGUCUGAGCAGCUCACAAAUAAUUAAUGCCUAGAAGUUGACUGAGGACUGUUUUGCCUUGCUUCUUAAACCCAGUCUUAAGGAAACCUCCCUCUUCUCAGUCACUAUGAAAUCCCUGCUGGAAGCCACAUUCAAAGACAAGAGCGUACCACAGAUUUCUACUCACCAACUAUCAAUCCCAUGCUGAUGUAGAGGAACACCACACUGUUGGCCAAAAUACUGAUGAGGAAGCCUCCACUAACCAGCACUGCCCCGGCGAUAGAGGUCACCCUGGCUCCUAGCUUGGCACAGGCCACAGAGGCAAGGGGUGCUACAGGAGAGGAAGCACGAAGACUGUUCAACAUAGCUGUGUAGGGGAUGCAGACAGAGUUACGAACCUCCAGACAGACGCAGACUCGACAUGAUGGAACCGAUCCAGCUGAUGCUCUCUGACGAGCCUCCAAACUCAUCUUGGAAUGCCACGAAGAAGAUCCCAAAGCUCUUCAGUGUUCCCAUCACUAGGACGUUUACCUGCGCAAGCACACACGCGCGCAUACAUACAUACAUGCAAAUCAUGGGAAAGAGAUCAGUGCUAGCAGAGACUGCAUGUGAGGUAAAUAAAUGUAACGUUCUCAGGCUUAAUUAGUGUUCUUGUUAUAGGAUGAGCUCUGUGAAAAACACAUAUGGAGACUUAGGAAAAGGAAACAUGAAAAUAUUAAAUCGACAAGAGUGCAGUGGCAAGUAUUUUUAAAUGGCUGGUUAAAAUUUUGUAUUUUUGCUGCUACAACUCUAUUGGGAACUUGUUGAAAAAGACCAGAAACCACAUCAUUGCAAUCGAUAUAGCUGCAUUUGAUCACAGUGGUUGGGAAAACUAGCAGUGGAUGCAUGUUUUAGAGAUGAGGGAUCAUAAACGACUGAGGUGGACAUACCAGGAAACAAUGCAGCACCACCAUCCAGCCCCAACCUCCAUCUGGGGGGUCCUCAUACUGGAUCUCUUUCUCCUUCUCCUUCUUAGUGGUCAUGGCAUCCUUCCUGAACAGGUUCAUGGCUGCCUUGGUUUCACUAGGAGAAAAAAAAAAGAGAACAUCAAUAACUUCAAAAUCUCAUAGGCUGCCUUAUCAGAAGCAUACAUAACAUCACAGACCAUACAUAUUCUAAAAUGCAUGACAUGUUUUCACAUUAGUAAUGUGGAUAUAAACACAGUUAUGGUUAUUAUAGGCACAGCAUUUAAAGGCACUGUACUGGAUUCAUUAUAAAAAUAAAAUAAAAUACUUGCUGCAAAGUCUUCCA